GCCGUUGCUUCUGCUCGAUUAGUUUCAAGCUUGUCUAUUCAAUCUCUUGGUUGGUGUUUAGUUCCUCAAGUUUAGAAGUUUGGGUUGAUAGUUCGUUGGUUGUUCGUGUUCUGUUCGAAGUUAGAAGGUUCAAUCACGGUCUCAUCUACAGGUAUGGACCGUAGUUGGAUGAGAGCUAAUCGAUUAAGUACUGAGUACAGA